AACACUUGUAGAAAUGAAAGUUAUAUUUGGAAUAUUACUACUUGCAAUUGUAACGAACAUUUUUACAGCCGAAGGCUACAAUAAUGGGGAAAGCCUUAAUUCACUAGAAGACAAACAGAUUGCAGAACUCGAGCUCAACGAUUCAUACGAGAACGAGGAUGCUUUACAAAAUAAUCAACGUCGAUUUUUAGGAUUUUUAAAAAAAAUUUGGCAUAGGAUUUUGAAUUUUAUUAGACCUAAGCCAAAGCCAUCGCGAAAACCCAGUCGAAGGCCAAUGCCAAAGCCAAAGCCAAGACCAAAGCCAAGGCCACGGCCACGGCCGCGGUCGAAACGAUCCACACCCAAACCAUAACGACCCAAGCCGACGUCAACGAAACCAAAACUGACAAAACCAACAAAGAAACCCAGCCCGACGAAAAAAAAAAAACUAUGAAGGAGUCGGAUACACAACUGAAGAUUCCACAACACUCUAACUAAAUCUACAGUGGCGAUGAACAUUUUUAAAAUUUAACCGAACCUAAAACUACUUCAAACCUUAAAAAUAUCGUAUUUGCCACCUAUAAUAAAAAUUGUAUCCAAAAUAUUUUGGUUAGUAAUGGAGAUAUUGUACCUCUUACCUGUUUGAUAACUGUUUUGAAAUAAGAUGGAAAUUGUACCGAA